rnacentral:rRNA from 1 species
UGGGGAAUAUUGGACAAUGGGCGGAAGCCUGAUCCAGCCAUGCCGCGUGUGUGAAGAAGGCCUUUUGGUUGUAAAGCACUUUAAGCGAGGAGGAGGCUCUUCUAGUUAAUACCUAGGAUGAGUGGACGUUACUCGCAGAAUAAGCACCGGCUAACUCUGUGCCAGCAGCCGCGGUAAUACAGAGGGUGCGAGCGUUAAUCGGAUUUACUGGGCGUAAAGCGUGCGUAGGCGGCUGAUUAAGUCGGAUGUGAAAUCCCUGAGCUUAACUUAGGAAUUGCAUUCGAUACUGGUUAGCUAGAGUGUGGGAGAGGAUGGUAGAAUUCCAGGUGUAGCGGUGAAAUGCGUAGAGAUCUGGAGGAAUACCGAUGGCGAAGGCAGCCAUCUGGCCUAACACUGACGCUGAGGUACGAAAGCAUGGGGAGCAAACAGG